UUGCUCAAAGGGAUCCGUUUUAAGUCUCGAUCUGCUGAAGUCUCUCGAACAGUUGGCACAAAGAGACGAUGAUGCCCAUCUUCCACAAUACUUUCAUCAGAUUGCUGAGGCCUUUGUCCUUCAGAAAGACUACCAGCGUGCAUUAUUGUUCAUCCAGCUGGAGAGACUCUACCACCAGAGGG